GGGUGGGGGGACAAUUAGGCGGGCUAGCCACCAGGAACCAUACAGCUCCCAGCGGUUCAAAUGCAUGGAGGGAACCAGGCUGGGCUCACUUAGCAAAAUUUCCUCCACGGGUGUGAAUAGCCUCCUUACUUUAUCUGCAACUCAGCUGCUAAAUUGUGUGGCAAACAUCUAAUGUCUACAAAACACUUACCAUGCAAUACACCACUAGGUAACAAUUUGGUUUCUAUUGACUGUAGACCUGGUGCACCGCCCAAAAUUAAUCUCCAUCCUCGCUAAUAUAAGGGUGACCGUGUGUUUCUUCCCUUCUGUUCUGCACUUCACAGGGCCUCAUGUGAUCUGGCUAGUGCUGGAGACAGAAUGGAAUUAUUGCUGAUCGUUUCUUUUCACAGAGAGCAGUGGUGCUUCUCUGUCCUGGUAGCCUUUUCUAAUUAAGUCUGUGCAGAACUUUCUACAUCCCAUCUUAAUGACUGGGGCUUUUUCUCAUGCUAGCGUGUAUGGGUGUUUCUUAUUCCUCCAUUAAAACAAACCAAAAACAAAACACCGGGAGAGAUGUUUAACCUUAAGCCUAAUGAAGACCGGUGAUUAACUCAAAAGCUUGCUCCUGCCUUUGUGACUUUUGAAAUUGGUAUUACCCUGCUGAUGCUUUUGGAUCCUCACAUUCUGACUUUCCUCAUCCUAUGUUAAUUAUAGUCACUGAUGGGAUGGGGAAAGUUACCACACAUCACCGUGGUCAAUGUCUGUAGGCACAAGGACAGAAACUAUGUGGAAGCAGCUGCAGGGAGGGUGAAGAAAUGGCAAACCAGCUCAUAGUGAGGAAAUUCAAUGGUGCUGUUGUGGGUGAACCACCCAAAGUUGUUCAUGGUCUUAGGGCCAAAUGGUUCAGUUGUGCUUACUCCCAGGAAAACCUGCUUAGAACUGCAGCAUAAAUGUUGCCUUUUAAGGUGUGAAGUUGUCCCAGACAGACAUUGCUACUAGCCUUUAUGCUGAUGUGCUCCAAACUUCAGGUUGUCAAGGCACACUUUUUUUGCUGAAUUAAAAUUGGAGAGGCACAAUUCAUAAUUCUUACAAUUCAUAAUUCUCCAGGUCCUUCCACAUAACUAGUUUCUGUCCCUGAGCUCUAAAUGUCUACAAGCAUUCGCCAUGCAAUGUGUUGCAACUUCUUUUAUCUGGUCAGUGGCUCCACUAACAGGAGAGGAACAGUCACAAUGUGAUGAUUUGAAAGCAACAGCAGGGUAAUUCAACUUUAUCAGGACCAACUAAGAAGUCACAAAACAGGAACAAGCUGUUGAGUCUUUAUUAGGCUUAAUGUUAAGCAAUUGUUUUUGUUUGCUUUUCAAAUGUGGAGAGAAUAAGUGCCCAGGGACCCCACCCCAUUUCUUCAUGAGUCACAGUUUCAAGUCCCCCGCCCCCAGUUGAAGGAGACAAGCCCAGAGCAUGACUCACACAGAAUUGCAAAUGGCCAUAUCCCCCAAGGGUGGGUGAGUAGUUCUAUUGUGCCCUUGCAUCUGGGGAUUGAAUUAUGCAGUCACUCCUAAUGCAGAUAGAAGACAGAAAAACCCACCCCAUCUGGUAACUGAUUAGAAGGCCAGGCUAAAGCAAUGGACUAUGCAGUGGACAAGGCAUACCCGUGGCUAAUCCCAUUCGUGGCAACUCUCGCGAGAGUUCUCGUGAAGCAGCUGGAUAGCGAUGGGGGAGAAAAUGGCGGUGGUGGCAGCUGGCCGGCAGGCAAGCAAAGAAAAUGGCAGUGAAUGGUGGCAGCCAGCUGGCCAAAGAAAACUAUGAUGGGACCGAGUGGGCAGGAAGACAAAGAAAAAAACAAGUCCAGAGCAUGACUCAUGCAAAAUUGCAAGUGACUGUCUUCUACUUUAAGGGUGAGUAGUUCCUAAGCUCCAGUUUAAGCUGACUUGGCACCACUGCUCCCUGUAAAAAGGAUUUCCAGAUGACCUCAGCAGCAACUCCCGUUAUCUCUAGCUGCAAUGGCCUUUGGCUGGGGAUUAUGGGAAUUGUAGUCAACAGGGAUGCCAAGAUUAUGUUAACAGGGAACACUGCUUAGCACCUGUUUUUCUUGGCCCAUUAAAAAACCAUGGUAUCAUCAAGUUUUA